AACGCAUCUUGCACUCCUUGGUAUUCCGAGGAGUAUACUUGUUUGAGUGUCAUGGUAUCUUCAACCUAGCUAUGAUUUUUGUAGUGGGGUUUGGACUUGGAGGUUGUUUUUGUCGGUGGUACAGGUUGAGGGUGUCAAUCUAUACUAUUGGCUCCUCUGAAAUACAUUUGCUUGGAUCGAUUACCAAGUGUGGUUCAGUGUGAUAAUGUCUGCACUGUUUCAUCUUGACAAGUUCUAAGUGUCUAAGCCUUGACUUCUGCUCUUUUGUAGACAGAAUCUGUGAAACAUCUGACCUCAAAUCAAGUAGGACUACCCGCUGAACUUAA
rnacentral:misc_RNA from 1 species